AGCUGCCUCUCCCGCCGAGUUGGAGACGGAUGGGCUGGGACGGGUUUUGGGGGGGUGUCCCCAAUUCUGACUGGGAGUGGAGGAACCCCUCCUGAGCUCUCUUGUGGGGGUGCCCCCUCCCCAGGGCACUCCCCAGUCCCUGAGCCAGCCGAGAGGAAGGAGGCCAGCGAUGCGACUGGGGCGGUUCCUUUCUCCUGCACCCCAAAUGUGAGGGAUGCACCCUAAAUUUUGCUCUUUUCAAAAUAGGGGACCAGGAUCUCAGGGGAGAGUAGCUGAGGCCUUGCUCGGAGUCCCAGGAGAUCCACAGGUCCAGCGUGAACAGUGAGAGGUCAGAGGUGGAAGGCUCAGCAGGAGAGGAGAGGAGGAUCAGCAGAGGUCAUGAGAAGGCCAGAAUCCAGGGUCAGGCUGUCUGGAACAGGAAGUAAAAUGGGCCGAGAUGGAGCGAGCCCCCAGUGUGCUUCCGAGGCCACUCCCAACUCCCUGAAACACCCUGCUACGUACUGACCCAAUGCCCUGCGCUGUGUAUGAGAGCACCUUCUCCUCCGAAACCCCUGUACAAGGAGGGGCCCCUGCGGAGACCGUGCCCUGCCGUCCAGUUCUCAAGGGCAUUCUAAAAAACUAGUGACAAAGUAGGGAAGCAGCUGAGCUGGAAAGGAGUUCUGAGGACGAUGGAACCUUGGGUAAGGAGGAAGAAGGCUGCCCACCCGCCCUUUUCUGGCAGCCACCCUCCCUCACACUGUCCGUUCCUUGAUGACACAGCUGAUGUGAUUAAGAUCGUCCCCAAAUCGCUUCACA